GGACGAGCCCGAGUGCCCCGGCAGCAGGAGGGCGGCGGAGCAGCGGAGGGGUUAAGCGGGGAGAGGGGCGUGCGCCCUGCGGCCCCCCACCCUCCUGGGAGCUGGUCCAGCCCGAGCAGGCUCUGCCCUGGGGUCAAGUCCUAGGACAUCUCUCCCUCCCCUCCUGGCAAGGCAGGAACUCGGGCUGGGAAGGGAAACAGCAGAUGAGCAGAGGGCAGAGGUUUGCCCCUCGUCCUGCACACAGACGUCUGGAGGCUGGGGAAGGAGAGAGUUCCCAGUUUUCCAGGUUGCAAAAAGAGGUGGCGAGGGGAAGCUGUGUGUGCAAAGAAGGGAAGGAACAAGUGACGGCUGCAGGACCGGCGGAUAAACCACUACGCAAACACCGAAACACAGCCAAGGAAUUAAGGGAUAAUUCGCACAGAAAUCGUUAGGUAUGAUUACAUGUAUGUGCACGUGUGUCUCCUCUAAAAAAUUUACUUCCCGUAAGAAUUCUUUGUUCUAGGCAAAAAGAAAAUCUGGUUGCUAAAAUAUAAAAUGGGGCUUCCCUUACUUGAAUUAGAAAUUUUGAUACAGCCUCAUCUGCAAUUGUGUGGGUGCAUCUUGUUUCUAUAUGUGUAUCUCUGCAUACGCAUAGAUGGGAUUUUGGGUUCAAAUAGCUUUUAAUGUGCUUAACAGAAAGAAGCUCUUAGUAUCAGAUCUGCAGUGAAAAUAAGACUGAUUUUUCCCAUAGGAAACUUGCUAAAGACACAGCUGAAUUAUUAGAUUAACCCCUUUUUUUGUCUCAUGGCAUAUCUGAUGUAUUUGCGCAAAGAUUUGUAUCAUUUCAUUUCUGUUAUUUUGAACAGACAGAACGAAUAGCAGUGCUUUCAAGGGAAGUUAUUAUUUGUAGAAAUAUAUACAAAUUAAGAGGAACAACUUUGAAGCAAAAUGUUUUUCCAACAGAGUAAAUAUGGCUUUCUGGACAGGACUCUCAGCAAGAAUGGUUGUUAUCUUUAACAUGUAAAAUGAGGGUGAGCAGCUCUGGUUCCCUGGGUUCUGCAGCGAGAUCAGGUCUUCCCCUGGAGACAUGACCUGGCUGCCAGGGGCUCAGGAGGCAGGGGUGGGCCAGCUUUGCUGUGGUGAAAGCACUGCACUCAGCUGAAUUUUUAGGGAUCCACAAGCAUAUCCCAUCAUCGCUGGCCACCCAGCACGGGGGGACUGGGGACACUCCGCGGUGCCGGAGGCUGAUGGGGCACAAGGGGCUGAUGUGUGGGGAGAGCCAAAAAAAAGUUCCAGGCUAUCUUUUAAAAUUAAGGUUUGAAAAAUUAUUGUUGGAAGGGGGGAGAUUCAGCUUAGAAAAAGCCUCCAUAAUAUCAUCCACUUCCAUAGCUUUAUGCUUCUUGGAAAUUUGUCUGAAGAAUCAGAACAAAGCAUGGAAGGCCAGAGUCCUUGAAGGAGCUCCAAAUGAUAAAGUCUGCCAUUCAUUUUAAACACUGCGUGCAUUGUGGAAACACAGGUCAAUUUGAAGGCAUUUGUCAGAUUUCCAGUUCCCUCUGCUCCUUUGCAAUGGAAAUUUGCAAUCAAAUCCCUGUGCUGGAGUUAGGAUGUCUGCCUUGAUCAGUUUGUAUGACUCUAUGCCCAAAGCACUGGCCAGGCCAUAACACGAGUGGAUGUGUUUGCCAUGGGAAUAAACACUUGGAAUACAUCUAUAUGUUUCUUGGCUUUUUGAGAGAAAUGAAGAAAAAAAGUCUUGGCAUUUAAUUAGGAGUCACUAACCUGAUAAAUAUUGAACAUCAUUUCUUUGUGAGCGGCUCCAUGUGCUCAGAGUACUCUGUGGAUGUAUUCCACAAUUGCACUUAUUUAAUGCCUGUAUCACCUCGUGCCUAUUGUAUUUAUGUUGUCAUCAAUGUCAGAUUUUAAUUAAACAAUUAAAUCACUGUCACAGUAA